rnacentral:rRNA from 1 species
CCUAACACAUGCAAGUCGAACGGAGAUAAAGAUUUCGGUUUUUAUCUUAGUGGCGCACGGGUGAGUAACACGUGAAUAACCUGACCCAAAGAGGGGGAUAACACCUGGAAACAGGUGCUAAUACCGCAUAAGACCACAAUGUCGCAUGACGAAGGGGUCAAAGAAAAUCGCUUUGGGAGGGGUUCGCGUCCCAUUAGGUAGUAGGCGGGGUAACGGCCCACCUAGCCAACGAUGGGUAGCCGAGCUGAGAGGCUGAUCGGCCACACUGGAACUGAGACACGGUCCAGACUCCUACGGGAGGCAGCAGUGGGGAAUAUUGGGCAAUGGGCGCAAGCCUGACCCAGCAACGCCGCGUGAGGGAAGAAGGUUUUCGGAUUGUAAACCUCUGUCGCAGAAGACGAAGGAAGUGACGGUAUUCUGUGAGGAAGCCCCGGCUAACUACGUGCCAGCAGCCGCGGUAAUACGUAGGGGGCGAGCGUUGUCCGGAAUUACUGGGCGUAAAGGGAGCGUAGGCGGUCUGAUAAGUUGGAUGUGAAAUACCCGGGCUUAACUUGGGGGGUGCAUCCAAUACUGUUGGACUAGAGUACAGGAGAGGAAAGCGGAAUUCCUAGUGUAGCGGUGAAAUGCAUAGAUAUUAGGAGGAACAUCGGUGGCGAAGGCGGCCUACUGGGCACUAACUGACGCUGAGGCUCGAAAGCAUGGGUAGCAAACAGGAUUAGAUACCCUGGUAGUCCAUGCCGUAAACGAUGAUUACUAGGUGUGGGAGGAUUGACCCCUUCCGUGCCGCAGUUAACACAAUAAGUAAUCCACCUGGGGAGUACGACCGCAAGGUUGAAACUCAAAGGAAUUGACGGGGGCCCGCACAAGCAGUGGAGUAUGUGGUUUAAUUCGAAGCAACGCGAAGAACCUUACCAGGUCUUGACAUCGGAUGCAUACCUAAGAGAUUAGGGAAGUCCUUCGGGACAUCCAGACAGGUGGUGCAUGGUUGUCGUCAGCUCGUGUCGUGAGAUGUUGGGUUAAGUCCCGCAACGAGCGCAACCCUUAUCGUUAGUUACUACGCAAGAGGACUCUAGCGAGACUGCCGUUGACAAAACGGAGGAAGGUGGGGAUGACGUCAAAUCAUCAUGCCCUUUAUGACCUGGGCUACACACGUACUACAAUGGCUAUUAACAGAGAGAAGCGAUACCGCGAGGUGGAGCAAACCUCACAAAAAUAGUCUCAGUUCGGAUCGCAGGCUGCAACCCGCCUGCGUGAAGCCGGAAUUGCUAGUAAUCGCGGAUCAGCAUGCCGCGGUGAAUACGUUCCCGGGCCUUGUACACACCGCCCGUCACACCAUGAGAGCCGGGGGGACCCGAAGUCGGUAGUCUAACCGCAAGGAGGACGCCGCCGAAGGUAAAACUGGUGAUUGGGGUGAAGUCAUAACA